rfam:Cricetulus griseus cell line CHO-K1, whole genome shotgun sequence.
CAAAAGGCCCUUUUCAGGGCCACCCACUCGUUCCUCAAAAAGCUGU